rnacentral:rRNA from 1 species
UACGUAGGGUGCGAGCGUUGUCCGGAAUUACUGGGCGUAAAGAGCUCGUAGGUGGUUUGUCGCGUUGUUCGUGAAAACUCACAGCUCAACUGUGGGCGUGCGGGCGAUACGGGCAGACUGGAGUACUGCAGGGGAGACUGGAAUUCCUGGUGUAGCGGUGGAAUGCGCAGAUAUCAGGAGGAACACCGGUGGCGAAGGCGGGGUCUCUGGGCAGUAACUGACGCUGGAGGAGCGAAAGCGUGGGGAGCGAACAGG